rnacentral:rRNA from 1 species
AUUGAACGCUGGCGGCAUGCCUUACACAUGCAAGUCGAACGGCAGCAUGAUCUAGCUUGCUAGAUUGAUGGCGAGUGGCGAACGGGUGAGUAAUACAUCGGAACGUGCCCUGUAGUGGGGGAUAACUAGUCGAAAGAUUAGCUAAUACCGCAUACGACCUGAGGGUGAAAGUGGGGGACCGCAAGGCCUCAUGCUAUAUGAGCUGCCGAUGUCUGAUUAGCUAGUUGGUGAGGUAAAGGCUCACCAAGGCGACGAUCAGUAGCUGGUCUGAGAGGACGAUCAGCCACACUGGGACUGAGACACGGCCCAGACUCCUACGGGAGGCAGCAGUGGGGAAUUUUGGACAAUGGGCGAAAGCCUGAUCCAGCAAUGCCGCGUGUGUGAAGAAGGCCUUCGGGUUGUAAAGCACUUUUGUCCGGAAAGAAAUGGCUCUGGUUAAUACCUGGGGUCGAUGACGGUACCGGAAGAAUAAGGACCGGCUAACUACGUG